rnacentral:tRNA from 1 species
ACCCGGAUGGCGAAACUGGUAGACGCGCAGGACUUAAAAUCCUGUGGCCGUAAGGCCGUGCGGGUUCGAGACCCGCUCCGGGUA